UACGUAGGGGGCGAGCGUUGUCCGGAAUGACUGGGCGUAAAGCGUGCGUAGGCGGUCCGGCCAGUCCGGGGUGAAAGUCCGGGGCUCAACCCUGGGAAUGCCUUGGAAACUGUCGGACUUGAGUGCUGGAGAGGCAAGGGGAAUUCCACGUGUAGCGGUGAAAUGCGUAGAGAUGUGGAGGAAUACCAGUGGCGAAGGCGCCUUGCUGGACAGUGACUGACGCUGAGGCACGAAAGCGUGGGGAGCAAACAGG
rnacentral:rRNA from 1 species